rnacentral:lncRNA from 1 species
CACAUGAAGAUCCACAUCGGACCUCAGCCACUACAACAAGAAAGCACAGCUCUAACACCAACAGAGAGCUACGAAUGAACCAAGCAGCUGUGAAGUCGAAGCUACAGUGGCAGGGCCCGGUGGCAUAUGCUGACGAGUAGGUGGUCCGUUCGGUGAUCUUCCUCAACACGUAGUAUGACUUCAGUGCACACGACACAGUAUAUGCCCCCCUGGAGACCGACAACAGAACAACAGUUCCACAAGCAUGAGCACACUUGAAUUCAGGUGAGAGUGUGACUACUCCCAUUCCUGUCACGUAGAAAGAAGAAAACUCCCGUUUCGUACAGAAAUUCCAUGAGAAGCAAAAUGGCGCCACGUCGUAUUAUUUGUAUUCUUCGUUCUACGAAUCAGCAAAACCAGAUCACGACUCGGACACGAUUCACAUGGAGCACCUAUCUCACGCUUUUUCGACGCGGUAGCCAGGCUGCCUCUCUUCCUCAUCACUUAUUUAAGACGCCCAUCUGGGUUAAAAAGUCGUGACCGAACAAUGACCGGCGGUAUGUAAGGCCUUCCACAGCGUAGCCGGUGCCAAAUACAUCAAAAGGCAGCCACCUCAUCACCGGUGCCCAAAAUUGCUUUUCAGGCAUCGAUCUCACAACGUAGGGCUUCGGCAGGAAAAAGAUUUUGGGACCCAUAUGAUAAACAAGUACACCACGCUGCUGUGUAUUGAGCAAAGAGAGAGAAGACAUUUGCUGUUCAAAGUUGAGAGUUAAUAGUAUUUUAUUGGCUGGAGGAAUUGGGCAUCGUGUUCUUACUUGCUCCGAUGCCAUGAAAAUUUUGUUGGGGCACCGGCCUCACAACGUGAGGGCACCGGCUAUCGGUGCCAGAAGUUAAUUUGGCACCUCUUUUGGCCUACAUAAUGGAAGGUCUAAGAGGUGGGUUUGAGAGAUCGGUAGUAGAUGCUCUUAAUAAGCUAGUACUAGAAGAAGAACAUGUAUAGGGGAGGAAGGGGACAUAAGUGAAUCCCGAACGGAAGCACGUACCUGCGGGUGAUGGCCGAGUCGAGAAGCACGGUCGACGUUCGUGAUCGAGUUGGCGCCGUGCCGGAGCUAAUUCAAGGGAAUGCCGCCGCCUUCCAACCGGAGACGAGACUGUAUUAUGUGGCUGACAACCUGCGCAGCUUUCAAACAUGGUGGCUCCUUUUGGAAAAGGCUCGGAGUGGAGACCCCAACCGUGUCACUCGUGUCAUACAUAUGCACCUUACAAAGGGCUGCGAGCUUUACUACACAGAUGUGUUGGGUGUACAUUUGGUUUUAACAAAUUUGAGACCUUAUCUUUUUUUUUGUUGGGUUUGCUGCUUUUAUGUCAUUUUAAAUACAUAUGUGUAUGCUGUCAAUACACUAUAGAUUAACAUACACUAGUGUCAAAAACGCUUUUAUAUUAUAAAACGGAGGGAGUAGUCUGAUUUUCUCAACACGUAAAUUUUUUUUUAAAUGGAGGCAAAAGAUUUGGCUCAUUCAUUAAUUAAGCAGAAAAGAACUGCCCAGUUAAUUAAUGAAAAACCAGGCGAAAAUCAUCACAAACUACUGAGUGACACCAAUGAAAGACCUACACGCGCCACUCACAAGAGGGCCUCGUCAAGACUGCACGUCGACAUCAUCGCCAUCACUUCUCCCCUAGAGGCAUCAUUGCCAUCCCAAACUAUGAGAAACGACUCCAACUUCACCUCAAGAGGGCCUCGUCAAGACCGCACCUCGAGCGUCAUCACCAUCACUUCUCCCCUAGAGGUGUCAUCGCCAUCCCAAACUCUGAAAAACAACUCUGACUUCGCCAAAGGCGAUCAUCAAACCAACCCACCCUGAAUAGGCCGUGCGGAAUCACAUGAAGAUCCACAUCGGACCUCAGCCACAACAACAAGAAAGCACAGCUCUAACACCAACAGAGAGCUACGAAUAAACCAAGCAGCUGUGAAGUCGAAGCUACAGUGGCAGGGCCUGGUGGCAUAUGCUGACGAGUAGGUGGUCCGUUCGGUGAUCUUCCUCAACACGUAGUAUGACUUCAGUGCACAUGACACAGUAUAUGCCCCCCUGGAGACCGACAACUGAACAACAGUUCCACAAGCAUGAGCACACUUGAAUUCAGGUGAGAGUGUGACCACUCCCAUUCCUGUCACGUAGAAAGAAGAAAACUCCCGUUUCGUACAGAAAUUCCAUGAGAAGCAAACUGGCGCCACGUCGUAUUAUUUGUAUUCUUCGUUCUACGAAUCAACAAAACCAGAUCACGACUCGGACACGAUUCACAUGGAGCACCUAUCUCACGCUUUUUCGACGUGGUAGCCAGGUUGCCUCUCUUCCUCAUCACUUAUUUAAGACGCCCGUCUGGGUUAAAAAAUCGUGACCGAACAAUGACCGGCGGUAUGUAAGGCCUUCCACAGCGUAGCCGGUGCCAAAUACAUCAAAAGGCAGCCACCUCAUCACCGGUGCCCAAAAUUGCUUUUCAGGCAUCGAUCUCACAACGUAGGGCUUCGGCAGGAAAAAGAUUUUGGGACCCAUAUGAUAAACAAGUACACCACGCUGCUGUGUAUUGAGCAAAGAGAGAAGACAUUUGCUGUUCAAAGUUGAGAGUUAAUAGUAUUUUAUUGGCUGGAGGAAUUGGGCAUCGUGUUCUUACUUGCUCCGAUGCCAUGAAAAUUUUGUUGGGGCACCGGCCUCACAACAUGAGGGCACCGGCUAUCGGAGCCAGAAGUUAAUUUGGCACCUCUUUUGGCCUACAUAAUGGAAGGUCUAAGAGGUGGGUUUGAGAGAUCGGUUGUAGAUGCUCUUAAUAAGCUAGUACUAGAAGAAGAACAUGUAUAGGGGAGGAAGGGGACAUAAGUGAAUCCCGAACGGAAGCACGUACCUGCGGGUGAUGGCCGAGUCGAGAAACACGGUCGACGUUCGUGAUCGAGUUGGCGCCGUGCCGGAGCUAAUUCAAGGGAAUGCCGCCGCCUUCCAACCGGAGACGAGACUGUAUUAUGUGGCUGACAACCUGCGUAGCUUUCAAACAUGGUGGCUCCUUUUGGAAAAGGCUCGGAGUGGAGACCCCAACCGUGUCACUCGUGUCAUACAUAUGCACCUUACAAAGGGCUGCAAGCUUUACUACACAGAUGUGUUGGGUGUACAUUUGGUUUUAACAAAUUUGAGACCUUAUCUUUUUUUGUUGGGUUUGCAGCUUUUAUGUCAUUUUAAAUACAUAUGUGUAUGCUGUCAAUACACUAUAGAUUAACAUACACUAGUGUCAAAAACGCUUUUAUAUUAUAAAACGGAGGGAGUAGUCUGAUUUUCUCAACACGUAAUUUUUUUUAAACGGAGGCAAAAGAUUUGGCUCAUUCAUUAAUUAAGCAGAAAAGAACUGCCCAGUUAAUUAAUGAAAAACCAGGCGAAAAUCAUCACAAACUACUGAGUGACACCAAUGAAAGACCUACACGCGCCACUCACAAGAGGGCCUCGUCAAGACUGCACGUCGACAUCAUCGCCAUCACUUCUCCCCUAGAGGCAUCAUUGCCAUCUCAAACUAUGAGAAACGACUCCAACUUCACCUCAAGAGGGCCUCGUCAAGACCGCACCUCGAGCGUCAUCACCAUCACUUCUCCCCUAGAGGUGUCAUCGCCAUCCCAAACUCUGAAAAACAACUCUGACUUCGCCAAAGGCGAUCAUCAAACCAACCCACCCUGAAUAGGCCGUGCGGAAUCACAUGAAGAUCCACAUCGGACCUCAGCCACUACAACAAGAAAGCACAGCUCUAACACCAACAGAGAGCUACGAAUGAACCAAGCAGCUGUGAAGUCGAAGCUACAGUGGCAGGGCCCGGUGGCAUAUGCUGACGAGUAGGUGGUCCGUUCGGUGAUCUUCCUCAACACGUAGUAUGACUUCAGUGCACACGACACAGUAUAUGCCCCCAUGGAGACCGACAACAGAACAACAGUUCCACAAGCAUGAGCACACUUGAAUUCAGGUGAGAGUGUGACCACUCCCAUUCCUGUCACGUAGAAAGAAGAAAACUCCCGUUUCGUACAGAAAUUCCAUGAGAAGCAAAAUGGCGUCACGUCGUAUUAUUUGUAUUCUUCGUUCUACGAAUCAGCAAAACCAGAUCACGACUCGGACACGAUUCACAUGGAGCACCUAUCUCACGCUUUUUCGACGCUGUAGCCAGGCUGCCUCUCUUCCUCAUCACUUAUUUAAGACGCCUGUCUGGGUUAAAAAAUCGUGACCGAACAAUGACCGGCGGUAUGUAAGGCCUUCCACAGCGUAGCCGGUGCCAAAUACAUCAAAAGGCAGCCACCUCAUCACCGGUGCCCAAAAUUGCUUUUCAGGCAUCGAUCUCACAACGUAGGGCUUCGGCAGGAAAAAGAUUUUGGGACCCAUAUGAUAAACAAGUACACCACGCUGCUGUGUAUUGAGCAAAGAGAGAGAAGACAUUCGCUGUUCAAAGUUGAGAGUUAAUAGUAUUUUAUUGGCUGGAGGAAUUGGGCAUCGUGUUCUUACUUGCUCCGAUGCCAUGAAAAUUUUGUUGGGGCACCGGCCUCACAACGUGAGGGCACCGGCUAUCGGAGCCAGAAGUUAAUUUGGCACCUCUUUUGGCCUACAUAAUGGAAGGUCUAAGAGGUGGGUUUGAGAGAUCGGUUGUAGAUGCUCUUAAUAAGCUAGUACUAGAAGAAGAACAUGUAUAGGGGAGGAAGGGGACAUAAGUGAAUCCCGAACGAAAGCACGUACCUGCGGGUGAUGGCCGAGUCAAGAAACACGGUCGACGUUCGUGAUCGAGUUGGCGCCGUGCCGGAGCUAAUUCAAGGGAAUGCCGCCGCCUUCCAACCGGAGACGAGACUGUAUUAUGUGGCUGACAACCUGCGCAGCUUUCAAACAUGGUGGCUCCUUUUGGAAAAGGCUCGGAGUGGAGACCCCAACCGUGUCACUCGUGUCAUACAUAUGCACCUUACAAAGGGCUGCGAGCUUUACUACACAGAUGUGUUGGGUGUUCAUUUGGUUUUAACAAAUUUGAGACCUUAUCUUUUUUUUGUUGGGUUUGCAGCUUUUAUGUCAUUUUAAAUACAUAUGUGUAUGCUGUCAAUACACUAUAGAUUAACAUACACUAGUGUCAAAAACGCUUUUAUAUUAUAAAACGGAGGGAGUAGUCUGAUUUUCUCAACACGUAAGGGCUUCUUUGAUUCAAAGGAAUUGCAUAGGAUUUUUGGAGGAUUUGAAUCCUUAGGAAUUUUUCCUGUGAUGCUCGUUUGAUUCGUAGGAUUGGCAUCCUUAGGAAUUUUUCCAUAGGAUCCAUUUGUACUACAUUUUGGAGGAAAAUUUGCAUCCACUGAAACCUCUUUGUAGGAUUCCUUUGUUUUUCCUGCGCUAUCAAACAUUCUUUGAGAUCCUGUAGGAUACUAUGGGACAUGUCAUCCUAUUCCUGCAUUUUUCCUAUUCCUUCAUUUUGACAAUCCUGCGAAUCAAAGAGGCCCUAAAUUUUUUUUUAAACGGAGGCAAAAGAUUUGGCUCAUUCAUUAAUUAAGCAGAAAAGAACUGCCCAGUUAAUUAAUGAAAAACCAGGCGAAAAUCAUCACAAACUACUGAGUGACACCAAUGAAAGACCUACACGCGCCACUCACAAGAGGGCCUCGUCAAGACUGCACGUCGACAUCAUCGCCAUCACUUCUCCCCUAGAGGCAUCAUUGCCAUCCCAAACUAUGAGAAACGACUCCAACUUCACCUCAAGAGGGCCUCGUCAAGACCGCACCUCGAGCGUCAUCACCAUCAUUUCUCCCCUAGAGGUGUCAUCGCCAUCCCAAACUCUGAAAAACAACUCUGACUUCGCCAAAGGCGAUCAUCAAACCAACCCACCCUGAAUAGGCCGUGCGGAAUCACAUGAAGAUCCACAUCGGACCUCAGCCACUACAACAAGAAAGCACAGCUCUAACACCAACAGAGAGCUACGAAUGAACCAAGCAGCUGUGAAGUCGAAGCUACAGUGGCAGGGCCCGGUGGCAUAUGCUGACGAGUAGGUGGUCCGUUCGGUGAUCUUCCUCAACACGUAGUAUGACUUCAGUGCACACGACACAGUAUAUGCCCCCCUGGAGACCGACAACAGAACAACAGUUCCACAAGCAUGAGCACACUUGAAUUCAGGUGAGAGUGUGACCACUCCCAUUCCUGUCACGUAGAAAGAAGAAAACUCCCGUUUCGUACAGAAAUUCCAUGAGAAGCAAAAUGGCGCCACGUCGUAUUAUUUGUAUUCUUUGUUCUACGAAUCAGCAAAACCAGAUCACGACUCGGACACGAUUCACAUGGAGCACCUAUCUCACGCUUUUUCGACGCGGUAGCCAGGCUGCCUCUCUUCCUCAUCACUUAUUUAAGACGCCCGUCUGGGUUAAAAAAUCGUGACCGAACAAUGACCGGCGGUAAGGCCUUCCACAGCGUAGCCGGUGCCAAAUACAUCAAAAGGCAGCCACCUCAUCACCGGUGCCCAAAAUUGCUUUUCAGGCAUCGAUCUCACAACGUAGGGCUUCGGCAGGAAAAAGAUUUUGGGACCCAUAUGAUAAACAAGUACACCACGCUGCUGUGUAUUGAGCAAAGAGAGAGAAGACAUUUGCUGUUCAAAGUUGAGAGUUAAUAGUAUUUUAUUGGCUGGAGGAAUUGGGCAUCGUGUUCUUACUUGCUCCGAUGCCAUGAAAAUUUUGUUGGGGCACCGGCCUCACAACGUGAGGGCACCGGCUAUCGGAGGCAGAAGUUAAUUUGGCACCUCUUUUGGCCUACAUAAUGGAAGGUCUAAGAGGUGGGUUUGAGAGAUCGGUUGUAGAUGCUCUUAAUAAACUAGUACUAGAAGAAGAACAUGUAUAGGGGAGGAAGGGGACAUAAGUGAAUCCCGAACGGAAGCACGUACCUGCGGGUGAUGGCCGAGUCGAGAAACACGGUCGACGUUCGUGAUCGAGUUGGCGCCGUGCCGGAGCUAAUUCAAGGGAAUGCCGCCGCCUUCCAACCGGAGACGAGACUGUAUUAUGUGGCUGACAACCUGCGCAGCUUUCAAACAUGGUGGCUCCUUUUGGAAAAGGCUCGGAGUGGAGACCCCAACCGUGUCACUCGUGUCAUACAUAUGCACCUUACAAAGGGCUGCGAGCUUUACUACACAGAUGUGUUGGGUGUACAUUUGGUUUUAACAAAUUUGAGACCUUAUCUUUUUUUUGUUGGGUUUGCAGCUUUUAUGUCAUUUUAAAUACAUAUGUGUAUGCUGUCAAUACACUAUAGAUUAACAUACACUAAUGUCAAAAACGCUUUUAUAUUAUAAAACGGAGGAAGUAGUCUGAUUUUCUCAACACGUAAGGGCUUCUUUGAUUCAAAGGAAUUGCAUAGGAUUUUUGGAGGAUUUGAAUCCUUAGGAAUUUUUCCUGUGAUGCUCGUUUGAUUCGUAGGAUUGGCAUUCUUAGGAAUUUUUCCAUAGGAUCCAUUUGUACUACAUUUUGGAGGAAAAUUUUCAUCCACUCAAACCUCUUUGUAGGAUUCCUUUGUUUUUCCUGCGCUAUCAAACAUUCUUUGAGAUCCCGUAGGAUACUAUGGGACAUGUCAUCCUAUUCCUGCAUUUUUCCUAUUCCUUCAUUUUGACAAUCCUGCGAAUCAAAGAGGCCCUAAAUUUUUUUUUAAACGGAGGCAAAAGAUUUGGCUCAUUCAUUAAUUAAGCAGAAAAGAACUGCCCAGUUAAUUAAUGAAAAACCAGGCGAAAAUCAUCACAAACUACUGAGUGACACCAAUGAAAGACCUACACGCGCCACUCACAAGAGGGCCUCGUCAAGACUGCACGUCGACAUCAUCGCCAUCACUUCUCCCCUAGAGGCAUCAUUGCCAUCCCAAACUAUUGAGAAACGACUCCAACUUCACCUCAAGAGGGCCUCGUCAAGACCACACCUGGCGCGUCAUCACCAUCACUUCUCCCCUAGAGGUGUCAUCGCCAUCCCAAACUCUGAAAAACAACUCUGACUUCGCCAAAGGCGAUCAUCAAACCAACCCACCCUGAAUAGGCCGUGCAGAAUCACAUGAAGAUCCACAUCGGACCUCAGCCACUACAACAAGAAAGCACAGCUCUAACACCAACAGAGAGCUACGAAUGAACCAAGCAGCUGUGAAGUCGAAGCUACAGUGGCAGGGCCCGGUGGCAUAUGCUGACGAGUAGGUGGUCCGUUCGGUGAUCUUCCUCAACACGUAGUAUGACUUCAGUGCACACGACACAGUAUAUGCCCCCCUGGAGACCGACAACAGAACAACAGUUCCACAAGCAUGAGCACACUUGAAUUCAGGUGAGAGUGUGACCACUCCCAUUCCUGUCACGUAGAAAGAAGAAAACUCCCGUUUCGUACAGAAAUUCCAUGAGAAGCAAAAUGGCGCCACGUCGUAUUAUUUGUAUUCUUCGUUCUACGAAUCAGCAAAACCAGAUCACGACUCGGACACGAUUCACAUGGAGCACCUAUCUCACGCUUUUUCGACGCGGUAGCCAGGCUGCCUCUCUUCCUCAUCACUUAUUUCCACCAUGGAGAUGGUGGCCUCCAUCAGGCCGUAACUUUCUUCGACGUCACUGAGUUGCAGAUGGUGGCAAAGUCCGG